UGUAACAUAGGAUGAUAGGAUGUGCUACACAGCUGGUGAUACUGCAGAGAGAGAUCAUUUUCCAUUUUCAGCUUGGGCGAAUGAGUAUACGCACAGAAGAGAAAAACCGUGCCAUCAGCUGCCAAGGGCAUUUCUGUGAAAUCCUUGAUAGAGGAGAGAAGGAGAGAGUCGUGAUGGAGGAAGCACAGAAGAGGAGGACGGAGAAAAGGGGGGCACCAUGUCAUGGGACCAAUUCCCAGGGCUGAGUUUGCAAGCCCUGGAAUUGGAGCCAUAACAUCAACACUCCUGAAUGUCUCAUGAAAACACCUGGCAGCAGAGCAUGGGAACUCGGGGGUGAAAAUCAUAACAAUUAUAAUGAGUAGUUUGUGUGGGAAUAGUAGAAAUGUGAUACAGGGGGUGGGGUUUGGUGAUGAUAUUUACGUGUGAUGUUACGUUGCAACCAAGGUGAUAAAAUUGCUUGUAUGUAAACAUUAUGUCAUUCUCGACUUUUUCCAAGUCGUGUGUUCUUCAAUAAAGAUUGGAU
rnacentral:lncRNA from 11 species